GCUGACAACAUGAGGCACGUGCU
rnacentral:miRNA from 1 species